rnacentral:rRNA from 1 species
UACGAGGGGGGGCGAGCGUUGUUCGGAAUUAUUGGGCGUAAAGGGUGCGUAGGCGGUUUGGUAAGUCUGAUGUGAAAUCUAUGGGCUCAACUCAUAGUCUGCAUCGGAAACUGCCGGGCUUGAGUGUGGGAGAGGUGAGUGGAAUUCCUGGUGUAGCGGUGAAAUGCGUAGAUAUCAGGAGGAACACCUGUGGCGAAAGCGGCUCACUGGACCAUAACUGACGCUGAUGCACGAAAGCUAGGGGGAGCAAACAGG